GAAUCCGCUAAGGAGUGUGUAACAACUCACCUGCCGAAUGAACUAGCCCUGAAAAUGGAUGACGCUUAAGCGAAUUGCCGAAACCAGACCGUUUUGGCAAAGCAAUCUAUGAUAAUGAUAUAAACACGGUCAAAAUGAGUAGGAGGGCGUGGCGGUUUUGUUAAGAAGGGUGAGACGCAAGUCUACCUGAAACGGCCGCUAGUGCAGAUCUUGGUGGUAGUAGCAAAUAUUCAAGCGAGAUCCUUGAAGGGCGACGCGGGGAAGGGUUCCACGCGAACAUUGAUUGGGCGUGGGUGAGUCGUUCCUAAGCCGGGUGGUAAUCGUUCUUGACGAUCGGCGAAAGGGAAUCGGGUUAAAAUUCUCGAACACGGAUGUGGAGGCGGUGACGCAAAUUGAGGUGGAGACGUUAGCGGUGGCACUAGGCAGAGUUUUCUUUUCUGUUUAACCUAAUGUGCAUGCGGCGGCUACUCUACUUGUAAGGAGUUUGGGUAUGCUGCUGUGUGUUUGUGUACUCUGUGGAAUCCGAUUAUCGGAAGAAACAGGUACCUAACUGCGGGAAGAGGGUCGGGGUGUCCCCGGCCUCUAGUACGCCACCGAUAGCCCUUGAAAAUCCAUCUGCAAUAUAAUUUCACGCCGUGGCGUACCGAUAACCGCAUCAGGUCCCCAAGGUGAACAGCCUCUGCUCAAUAUGAACAAUGCAGGUAAGGGAAGUCGGCA
rnacentral:rRNA from 1 species